rnacentral:rRNA from 1 species
CCUACGUGGGGCAGCAGUGGGGAAUAUUGCGCAAUGGGCGAAAGCCUGACGCAGCGACGCCGCGUGAGGGAUGAAGGUCUUCGGAUCGUAAACCUCUGUCAGCAGGGAAGAACGGUCACUGUGCUAAUCAGCAGUGAAUUGACGGUACCUGCAAAGGAAGCACCGGCUAACUCCGUGCCAGCAGCCGCGGUAAUACGGAGGGUGCGAGCGUUAAUCGGAAUUACUGGGCGUAAAGCGCUCGUAGGCGGUAUGUCAAGUCAAGGGUGAAAUCCCCGCGCUCAACGUGGGAACUGCCUUUGAAACUGGCAAAAUGGAGUGUGUGAGAGGAUAGUGGAAUUCCAGGUGUAGGAGUGAAAUCCGUAGAUAUCUGGAGGAACAUCAGUGGCGAAGGCGACUAUCUGGCACAUAACUGACGCUGAGGAGCGAAAGCGUGGGUAGCAAACAGGAUUAGAUACCCUAGUAGUC